rnacentral:rRNA from 1 species
GACAGAGGCCUCGAGCGUAGGCGGAAUCACUGGGCUUAAAGCGUGUGUAGGCGGACCCCUAAGUGUCUUGUGAAAUCCCACGGCUCACCCGUGGAACCGCUGGGCAUACUGGGGGUCUUGGGCCAUUCAGGGGCAACUGGAACAAGCGGUGGAGCGGUGAAAUGCGUAGAUAUCGCUUGGAACGCCGACGGUGAAAACAAGGUUGCUGGGAAUGUGCCGACGCUGAGACACGAAAGCCAGGGGAGCAAAGCGGG